AUUGAACGCUGGCGGCAGGCCUAACACAUGCAAGUCGAGCGGAUGAAGGGAGCUUGCUCCUGGAUUCAGCGGCGGACGGGUGAGUAAUGCCUAGGAAUCUGCCUGGUAGUGGGGGAUAACGUCCGGAAACGGGCGCUAAUACCGCAUACGUCCUGAGGGAGAAAGUGGGGGAUCUUCGGACCUCACGCUAUCAUAUGAGCCUAGGUCGGAUUAGCUAGUUGGUAGGGUAAAGGCCUACCAAGGCGACGUUCCGUAACUGUGCGGAGAGGAUGAUAGGUCACACUGGAACUGAAACACGGUCCAGACUCCUACGGGAGGCAGCAGUGGGGAAUAUUGGACAAUGGGCGAAAGCCUGAUCCAGCCAUGCCGCGUGUGUGAAGAAGGUCUUCGGAUUGUAAAGCACUUUAAGUUGGGAGGAAGGGCAGUAAGUUAAUACCUUGCUGUUUUGACGUUACCAACAGAAUAAGCACCGGCUAACUUCGUG
rnacentral:rRNA from 1 species